GACGAACGCUGGCGGCGUGCUUAACACAUGCAAGUCGAACGGUGACCCUCGGAGCUUGCUUCGGGGUGAACAGUGGCGAACGGGUGAGUAACACGUGAGUAACCUGCCCCUGACUCUGGAACAAGCGAUGGAAACGGCGUCUAAUACCGGAUACGACACGCCUCCGCAUGGGGAGCGUGUGGAAAGUUUUGCGGGCUGGGAUGGACUCGCGGCCUAUCAGCUUGUUGGUGAGGUAAUGGCUCACCAAGGCGAUGACGGGUAGCCGGCCUGGGAGGGCGACCGGCCACACUGGGACUGAGACACGGCCCAGACUCCCACGGGAGGCAGCAGUGGGGAAUAUUGCACAAUGGGCGAAAGCCUGAUGCAGCGACGCCGCGUGAGGGAUGACGGCCUUCGGGUUGUAAACCUCUUUCAGCAGGGAAGAAGCGAAAGUGACGGUACCUGCAGAAGAAGCACCGGCUAACUACGUGCCAGCCGCCGCCGUAA
rnacentral:rRNA from 1 species